AGUGAACGCUGGCGGUAGGCCUAACACAUGCAAGUCGAACGGCAGCACAGUAAGAGCUUGCUCUUACGGGUGUCGAGUGGCGGACGGGUGAGGAAUACAUCGGAAUCUACUUUUUCGUGGGGGAUAACGUAGGGAAACUUACGCUAAUACCGCAUACGACCUCCGGGUGAAAGUAGGGGAUCUUCGGACCUUGCGCGAUUGAAUGAGCCGAUGUCGGAUUAGCUAGUUGGCGGGGUAAAGGCCCACCAAGGCGACGAUCCGUAGCUGGUCUGAGAGGAUGAUCAGCCACACUGGAACUGAGACACGGUCCAGACUCCUACGGGAGGCAGCAGUGGGGAAUAUUGGACAAUGGGCGCAAGCCUGAUCCAGCCAUACCGCGUGGGUGAAGAAGGCCUUCGGGUUGUAAAGCCCUUUUGUUGGGAAAGAAAAGCAGCAGGUUAAUACCCCGCUGUUCUGACGGUACCCAAAGAAUAAGCACCGGCUAACUUCGUG
rnacentral:rRNA from 1 species